rnacentral:lncRNA from 1 species
UUGUGAACACUACAACUCCUCGCCUUUGCUGAGUCUUCAAUCUUCCGCUCCAGCUGCAAUGCGCCUCUUGGCUCCCAGCUGCUCUCCGCUGCUGUUUUUGAGUAGUCGAACCUUUGAUCCGCCAUGCUGCUCAACUCACCAAUGACUCUGACUCUGGUGUGGGGUUAGCUGAGUUGUGUUGUUCCUCGUUGAUUCCUGCGGAUCCACCAAAUGAAGGAAAAGACCAUCCUUACUGCGCCAGUUUCUCAAAAUUUCCACAUGCUGCUUGAACUGGGUGGAUGCUUGUUGGAGCUUUAACGAGCAUCGCCUCGUAAACUUCUGAAGUUUUGGGUCCUUCCUCCACAAAAUCUGCUCAUUGACUCUUCUUUCAGUUAGUUGUCGCAUCCAAGUAGGCUCGCAUCACUUCCGCUUUCGAUUGGCAUUUCGUUGGGAAAUGAAGCGGACAAUCUACUCUCAGUAGCACUGAUCACCGUUGGUGAGGAUUUGACAACUAUUGUCUUUCAUUAUCUUCGAAGGGUCUUUGAACUUGUGCAGAGCUCCUCUGCUGGAUAGAUAAGAGAAUUGGGGUACUCGGUUUCGCCCAUUCUCUUAAGAGUUGAGAAGGCAAAGGUUACUUGACUUUGCUCGCCUCCUCGAGGUUGUACUUCACGCAUCGAGCUAGUUACUGGCCUUCGCCUGCUCUUUGCUCACACUUCUGAAGCACUUGAAGUGUUUGCACUCCUUGCGUUGAGUUAGCUACUGUGAUUCACCUUCUCAAUGCCAUCGAACUUCUGGAAUGUGGGAAGUUUUCACCCCAACUUGGAGUAAUUCUCUGAUAGAUGAGGUCGCCUCUGGGAUUGUACCGUCUUCUCCAUCAACCCUGCCGCCUACUCCACUGAGCAGCAAAGGUACAGCACCGCGUACUGCUUGCUUCGUUCCUUGGUCGUGCACUCUUACAUGACCCGAAGUCCUUCACUUACGGCUAUCUUGAUGAGAAACUUGUUGACACCGGUCUUACGAAGUUUCUUGGCCUCUGCCCUUCAGCCUUGUCUCGGUACUUGGAGAUUGCCUCUGCAUACUCCACCUCCUCGGCCCCUUUCACGACCAAGUGCUCUCCCUCCAUGAGAGCAAGGGAUCAAUGACUUUUACGGAAGUCCUGCCUCUGCGGUACCAUGGCGCUGCCAUGCCCAUGGCACUACUAUCCGUCGCCUCGCAUCUGCAUCCCUUUUCUUCACGAUCAGUAGAUAUGUU